AGAGUUUGAUCAUGGCUCAGGACGAACGCUGGCGGCGUGCUUAACACAUGCAAGUCGAGCGGAAAGGCUUCCUUCGGGAAGUACUCGAGCGGCGAACGGGUGAGUAACACGUGGGUAAUCAACCUCUUGCUCUGGAAUACCCCGGGGAAACUCGGAUCAAUGCCAGAUAAAGUGCGGUGCUGCAGGGUGCCGUACCAAAGAUAGCUUCGGCCUUCGGCGAGAGACGAGUCCGCGGCCCAUUAGCUAGUUGGCGGGGUAAUGGCCCACCAAGGCUACGAUGGGUAGCUGGUCUGAGAGGAUGAUCAGCCACACUGGGACUGAGACACGGCCCAGACUCCUACGGGAGGCAGCAGUGGGGAAUCUUGCGCAAUGGGCGAAAGCCUGACGCAGCAACGCCGCGUGCGGGAGGAAGGCCUUCGGGUUGUAAACCGCUUUCAGGGAAGACGAAGCUUCCAGGGUGAAUAGCUCUGUGGAGUGACGGUAUCUUCAGAAGAAGUCCCGGCUAACUACGUGCCAGCAGCCGCGGUGAUACGUAGGGGACAAGCGUUGUCCGGAAUUAUUGGGCGUAAAGCGCGUGUAGGCGGCCAAGUAAGUCUUACGUGAAAUCCUGAGGCUCAACCUCAGGCCUGCGCGGGAUACUGCUUGGCUAGAGUCCGGAAGAGGAGAGUGGAAUUCCUGGUGUAGCGGUGGAAUGCGCAGAUAUCAGGAGGAACAUCCGUGGCGAAGGCGGCUCUCUGGGACGGUACUGACGCUGAGACGCGAAAGCGUGGGGAGCGAACAGGAUUAGAUACCCCAGUAGUCC
rnacentral:rRNA from 1 species